UUGGUUCUCUGAGCGAAGAGACUGUCUCUCCAGCUGUAGGCCACUCAGAGAUGGUUCCAAUCAAACUAUCAGUGAUUCCACACCAGCACAUGCGCUUUAUGGGAAAUACCAUAGGGAAAGCAGGUGUGUCUUUAAGAAGGAUCCACGUACCUGACCUCAGGGGGAUCAUCCCCGUACAUGUGGAAUAUGUAACGGUGGAGAGAUAGUCUCGAUACAAUAGAGAACAGAAGUU